rnacentral:rRNA from 1 species
GGGGAAUUUUGGACAAUGGGCGCAAGCCUGAUCCAGCAAUGCCGCGUGUGUGAAGAAGGCCUUCGGGUUGUAAAGCACUUUUGGCGGGAGCGAAACGGCGUUUGCUAAUACCAGACGCUAAUGACGGUACCCGCAGAAUAAGCACCGGCUAACUACGUGCCAGCAGCCGCGGUAAGACGUAGGGUGCGAGCGUUAAUCGGAAUUACUGGGCGUAAAGCGUGCGCAGGCGGCUUUGUAAGACAGGUGUGAAAUCCCCGGGCUUAACCUGGGAACUGCACUUGUGACUGCAAGGCUAGAGUGUGUCAGAGGGAGGUGGAAUUCCGCGUGUAGCAGUGAAAUGCGUAGAUAUGCGGAGGAACACCGAUGGCGAAGGCAGCCUCCUGGGAUAACACUGACGCUCAUGCACGAAAGCGUGGGGAGCAAAC